CAACUUUCAGCAACAGGAUCUCUUGGCUCUC
rnacentral:rRNA from 1 species